CCUACGGGUGGCAGCAGUGCGGAAUAUUGGUCAAUGGACGAGAGUCUGAACCAGCCAAGUAGCGUGCAGGAUGACUGCCCUAUGGGUUGUAAACUUCUUUUAUAUGGGAAUCAAACAGGGUAUGCAUACCCUCUUGUAUGUACCAUAUGAAUAAGGAUCGGCUAACUCCGUGCCAGCAGCCGCGGUAAUACGGAGGAUCCGAGCGUUAUCCGGAUUUAGUGGGUUUAAAGGGAGCGUAGGGGGAUUGUUAAGUCAGUUGUGAAAGUUUGCGGCUCAACCUCGCUCCGCCGUUGAAACGGGCGUGCGUGAGUGGGCGAGAAGUAUGCGGAAGGCGUGGUGUAGCGGUGAAAUGCAGAGAUAUCACGCAGAACUCCGAUUGCGAAGGCAGCAUACCGGCGCCCAACUGACGCUGAGCACGAAAGCGUGGGUAUCGAACAGGAUUAGAUACCCGAGUAGUC
rnacentral:rRNA from 1 species